rnacentral:lncRNA from 1 species
ACCGGCGACGAACGCCUUCAAUCGCGACUGGAAUUGGUGCAAAAAAGAGGUAAUCCUCAUUUAUUACAAUUUAAAGACCAGCUGAAGAAAACUCAAGCUGUUUCAAACCAAAUGGAAGUUGAAGCAAAGAAGUUGAAUUGAGAGUUAAUAAAUUGGAGGACAAUUUAAGAACAGACAACAUAUCUAGAGAGGCCAAAGGAUCAAGAGAGAUGGCGCCUACAAGAACACAAUGCAAGAGCUUGUGUUUGUAACUCAGUGAAGCUCUCUCUCUGACUUGAGGGGAAAAAAGAAACUCUUUUCUGAGUUUAGGUAAUUAACCAGGGUUAGUUUUCAACCGUGGUUAAGAGUAUUAACUGGGUUACAGAUCUGACGGUCAGCAUUGCUUUGAUGAAAAGAUUGAGAGAAUCUUGACCGUUCAGCAGGGGGGCAUCAUGCAUGUGUCCUUAUCUCUCGUUUUGAAGUCUCUCUCAUUCUCUCUCACUCUCCCUUUCCCUCUCUCUCUCUGAUAAAGGUCUUACCAAAGAGAUCGGUA